GUGUGAGAAAUUAGGUAGCUCAGUCGGUAGAGCAUUGGACUUUUAAUCCAAGGGUCCAGGGUUCAAGUCCCUGCUCGGGCG